UUUCUGCGAUGAAAGUAAAGUUCAUGCUAGAUCUAAUAAAUCUAGGCAACAAAAGUUGACGACUAGUGCAACAGAGACGAGCUUAUUAAGUUAAGAAUGCAACGAUGUAAACUCCAUGAGUU
rnacentral:RNase_P_RNA from 1 species